rnacentral:lncRNA from 1 species
CUUUCUCCCACACUCUUUCCUCAAUUUGGGUUUAUUUGUAUGUGGUUUCCAUUUUUAUUUUCAAAUUUGAGUUUCGUCUUAAUGUGGCUCCUUUCUUGCUAAUCUCUAAGCCAACAAGAUUCAAAAUUAGUACCAAGAUGUUGGAUGCUGAAUGUGAAGGUGCUAAAAGGAAGAAGACUUCUACAGUUGUAAUUACAACAAGGGGGACUUUGUUUGUUGCUUACAAUGUUUGUUGUGUGCGGUUUGUUGCAAAAUCUUUAGGGACGCAUAGCGUUCGUGAUAAUAAAAAUAUCAAAUGCUGAUUUAAAUUUAUUAAAAACAUCAAACAAACUCAAGACACACAUCUGAAUAAAUUAAAAAACUUGAGGCAAUGAAUGAAGUGACAUGCACCUUUAAUUCAACA